rnacentral:misc_RNA from 1 species
GGAAGGAUCAUUACAACGUAUCCACGUAUCAACCAACUGUGAACCUCCCAUUCGGAGCAAAACUUAGUGUGUCGUUAAUGACCGAGCUGUAAAGUGGUACUUUCUCAGAUGGAGAGCCGGACCUAAACAGUCUAGCUUCUGAAAGUUCCCGUUCGGUCGUCAGUUCUUCGGAGCUGAGGCGUCCUUUUGCUUUGAAUGCGGUAUAAAUGUCCGUCCAUCUGCGGUCGCCAAUUGUUUUACCCUUUUUCAUUAACCCUUUGUAACUUCUAUUGAACUGAACUAUGUAACAUUGACUGCGGCUGUUCUUGUUGGCUUCGGUCACGAGCAGUAUUCAAACGCGGGCUUGUUAUCACAUAUUACGAAACGCACGAACAACUCUUAACAACGGAUAUCUUGGUUCUCGUAACGAUGAAGAACGCAGCAAAAUGCGAUACGUAAUGCGAAUUGCAGAAUUCAGUGAAUCAUCAAAUCUUUGAACGCAAAUUGCGCUCUCGGGAUAGGCCUGAGAGCACGCCUCUUUGAGCAUCGAUUCUACCACAAGUCGACGACGUCCUUGCAAAAAGGGCGUGCAGUCGGACAUUGAGCUUUGCCAGCCGUUCGCGGCUCAGCUAGCUUUAAAUAGAGCGUGAUGCACAGCGAUCCUACUGUUCUUUGCAGGAGUAUCGGUGACGUGGAUAACUUCACAUUUUGUGAACCUUCCAAUACGUGACCGAAGCUCGUAAACUGCUUGAGCAGCAAGCCGCAAUUGUGCGUCCGAUCGUCACGCAAGUGACAACUCUUUUGAAUUAGAUCUCAAAUGAAGCGAGAAAACCCGCUGAACUUAAGCAUAUCAUUAAGCGGAGGAAAAGAAACUAACAAGGAUGCCCUCAGUAACGGCGAGUGAAGCGGGCAAAGCUCAAACUGAAAAUCGGAGCUCCAUGCGGGGCCUCGAAUUGUAGUCUAUAGACGCGCCAUCAGCGAUGAACCGGGUAUAAAUCUUUUGAAACAAGGUGUCAUAGAGGGUGAGAACCCCGUCUUUGACUCGGAGCUCAUUGCGUACGAUGCGUGUUCAAAGAGUCGAGUUGCUUGGGAUUGCAGCUCUAAGUGGGUGGUAAAUUUCAUCUAAAGCUAAAUAUUGACGAGAGACCGAUAGCGAACAAGUACCGUGAGGGAAAGAUGAAAAGAACUUUGAAAAGAGAGUUAAAAAGUACUUGAAAUUGUUAAGAGGGAAGCACUGGGAACCAGUAUUGCCGGUUGCUGUACUCGCUUGUCUGCGGGCUGGAGGCGGCGUGUCGAGACCGAAAGGCUCGGUUGCGUCGUCAAAGGUUCGUGGGCGGGUUCAGCAGUGACUGGUAGGUCAAAAUCAGUUUGCCUCGCGGGAGAAAGCUAUGCGGAAGGUAGGGCGGAGGAGCAAUCCAAGGCCUGUUAUAGACGUGUAGUGCUACCGUGGGGUGGAUUGAGGAACAAAUGCGCGCCACUAGGUUUCAGUUCCCCGACCCUGGGGUGUGAUCUGCGCUGGAUAGCAAAGCUAUGCACGUGGAGUAGCGCUCUACUGGAAGGGAUGAACUAGAUGCUGUAUUCGAGAUUUUGACGAAAUGGUUUUCAUUGACCCGUCUUGAAACACGGACCAAGGAGUCUAACAUAUAUGCGAGUGUUUGGGUGGCAAACCCUUACGCGCAAUGAAAGUAAAGGCAGCUUGCUGCUGAGGUAGGAACCGUUGCUCUCGGGCAGCGGGGCACUAUCGACCGAUCGUCACUUGUGAUAGAUUUGAGUAUGAGCAUAUCUGUUGGGACCCGAAAGAUGGUGAUCUAUGCCUGAACAGGGCGAAGCCAGGGGAAACUCUGGUGGAGGCUCGUAGCGAUACUGACGUGCAAAUCGUUCGUCUGAUUUGGGUAUAGGGGCGAAAGACUAAUCGAACCAUCUAGUAGCUGGUUCCCUC